rnacentral:rRNA from 1 species
UACGUAGGGGGCAAGCGUUGUCCGGAAUCAUUGGGCGUAAAGCGCGUGUAGGCGGUCCGGUAAGUCCGCUGUGAAAGUCGGGGGGCUCAACCCUCGGAUGCCGGUGGAUACUGUCGGGCUUGAGUACGGAAGAGGCGAGUGGAAUUCCUGGUGUAGCGGUGAAAUGCGCAGAUAUCAGGAGGAACACCAGUGGCGAAGGCGGUUCUCUGGGCAUUGACCUGACGCUGAGGAGCGAAAGUGUGGGGAGCGAACAGG